AGAAAUAAAGAAAUAGAAACACUUAAAAACAUUCCCCAAGUCAUCAUUUAGGAACUAGGGUUUACUUCCCGUCUCUCAACAUUUCUCUUAAAAUUCCCAAACCCUCAUCACUUUGACAACCAGUUCUGGUAUUUCAUCUAAAUCUGUUCUUGAUUUUAUUGUUCAAAGUGACGAUUUCCAUCAUCAAUCUGUUCAAGACUAUUUUACAGAUUAUUCAAUUUUGCUAAGUUAUUUUGGGUAUUCUUUUCCAUCACCAAAUGAAGUCGGAUAUGUGCGAUUGAGUUGGCAUACUGUGAUUCAACAAGUUAUUUUUAUGGCGAGGUCGUAUCUCUAAGCCGUUUUGUAAAGAAGAGCUCACAUGUUAUUCAUUUCAGCUUCCGCAGUGAAAUGGGAAGGAGUUGUUUCAUUGUGGUCCGAGGUGCUUCCAAGAGUAUUAACUUGAAAUUCGUAAGUUUUACUUCCCAUAAUUCUAUUCUCUGUAUCUGCUUCAGCUAUGCUUGUAUAUGUGUGUGUUGACAAUUUUAUUUCUUGAAUGCAAGAUUUGAUUAUCUUUACAACUUUCUUAAGAGAUGAAGUGUUCCAAUCAUCGGUUAGAGUUCCUUUCUUCCGCUCACUAUUUUAGACUUGCUGGAUUUUGUUGUUAAUGCUUGUGGGUUUUGAUUCAUUUCAUUUAUGGGCGCAAUGACUGAUUUUUGGUAUGUAUUUUCAUUGUUGCUCUUCAUUUUGUUGAUGGAUACAUGUUAUCCACGUUUUUCCUAAAAUUUGGUGUUUAUUUUAUAGUGCGCUUCUUAAUAUUAUUAUACCCAUGUCAAAUAUUGCUACUAAACACUCCUUUACGUACUAAAAGGAAGCUUUAAUUAACAUGAUUAUUGUACUUUGUUACGAAUUGAUAUUAGGUGAGGUGCUAAACUAAGCUUGCUAGUCUAUGGUGAUUAUCAGGUUCAUGUAGCUUCUUUUAAAUAUGAGUGAUAAUUAUGUUUGCUAAAAGAAAUUAAACUUGUGAACUUAUUAGACAAUGGCUAUUUCAAGUGGUGGAAAAACUGUUUGCUGCUAGUGCUCUAGUAGAUGGAUUGAAGUUAUAGAAAAAGUAAAGAUUCAUCCGCGCAAAGCCUUUGUGAAAAUGAUAGAUUGAAAUUGGUAAUUUUAAAAAUGUUGUUGUAUGGUUUCAAGACAUAUUUUAAAGAAAAUAUUGAAAUUUUAGGAAAAUGUGGUAUUAAAGUUGAACACCUUGAAAGAGAUGUGUUUCUGGUUUCUCCACAAGGAGGUUACUUGAAUAAGUGAAUCAGUGUUGUACUUGUAGUUCUAUAAGAUUUUAUGAAGAUAUUUGAUCUUGGUGCAAUGGUUGUUAAGGUUAUCUAUUGAUAAAGGUGGCGGUUCAUUUGUGAGGGAUGUUUCACUCUUGAAAUGAUAGACUUUCUUCUUACAAUCUGGAUCAAUUUUUAAUUUUUCCUUGUUCUCUUUAUCCACUUUUAUUGAUUUCAUUGCUGGCUCUCAGUUUGUUUUUGCUACUCAUGUAGGUACAAUUUACUUUUGGACUGAAACUCAACCUUACACUCUAUAUCAUGUCAUAACCAUUUAGUUGAAACUUUAGUCUUCUAUUCUCUGCAUCUCCGUGUCAUACGUCACUCUGAAGUUCGCAUGUAUCUUCAUGAUAUAAUCUUAUAACAAUUUGGGAUACAUUUCUUAGGUUCUCAAAUAUGGUUUUAUUUUUGUUGUAACACUGCAACGUUUCAUGUAGUACAUCUCAAACACUCAUCUGGUUAUGUACUCUUUUUACUUUUAUGAACAAUUUAUACCCUUUGAUAUGGGAGUAUCAACCAAUAGAGUAUUAUCGACAAGGUGUGCAUACCCAAAGCCAUUUUCUCUUUAUCUCUCACUUUUGUGUUUAGCAGCAAAAUCAAAGCUCACUGUGUGAAAGCCGUAUGCGGAAAAAGGAGUAAGUUGAGUAGCUGAAAACAAUGCCAUUUGAAGUUAGCACAACUUGAGCUGAAACUUGAGAGAGUUAGAUAGCAGGUCGCGUGACACUUACAACUUGGGGUGUAAUAUGGGGUCUUGAAAACUUCAGUUUACAAGUGAAGAUGUAGAUUUUGGAGAAUUCAAGUUGACAAGCUAAUUAUCAGUUGCCGAGAACUAUAGACAACAAUUCAUUUUAUUUGCAAAUGAUGUUAAUUUGUUUUCUUCCCAAGGGGUGCGUAAAUGAUACAGUACAAAUGGAAUGAAUCCUUUCUUUUGUUAUUUUACAAAUAUAUAUAUGAGCACAUUGUUGAUAAGUUUGACUA